rnacentral:sRNA from 1 species
GCUGGGCAUGGUGGCGCGUGCCUGUAAUCCCAGCUACUCGGGAGGCUGAGGCAGGAGAAUUGCCUGAACCCAGGAGGCGGAGGUUGCGGUGAGCCGAGAUCGCGCCAUUGCACUCCAGCCUGGGUAACAAGAGUGAAACUCCGUCUCAAAAAAAAAAAAAAAAAGAAAAAAAAAGCCACAUUCCCAUUCCUGAGCCUCUGCACUUGCUGCUGUUCUGGGUUGGUUCAAGGGUUUUGUUUGUUUGUUUGUUCGAGAUGGAGUCGCGCUCCGUGGCUCAGGCUGGAGAGCAGUGGCACAAUCUUGGCUCACUGCAACCUCUGCCUCCUGGGCUCAAGCAAUUCCCCUGCCUCAG